UGCGCCUGGUAGUCCACAUGUCAACUUUAUUGCGGUACCUGGACUUACAGUGACCUUCACCAACCCCACACCGAUGAGUGGAUUGUUUACCAUUUCUGUGACCCUGGUAGAUGGGGAUACGGUUGAGAAGAUUAAAGCCAAGAUCGCUAAAGAGAUUAAGGCUAUUAAAGACAUAAAUGCUCUAAAGCUGUGGUGAUAUCUUGAUCCGGCGUUAGGUCCUCGCAAGAUUCCAGUAGCAGGCGAUCACGUGACAAAAUGCGCGGAACUCGUCAAUGGCGAUGGUAUACGCGUACACGUGGAAGCGUCGCGUAUAGAACUCGUUCAGAACGGAACGAAUAUUGACGUCGGCUUACAGUUUGUGUAUACUUAUGAUAAGUGAUUGUUUUCAGAAAUAUAUUUAUUUAUUUUUA